rnacentral:rRNA from 1 species
GAACGGAAAGGCUCGUUCGGGGGUACUUCGAGUGUCGUACGGGUGAGUAACACGUGGAUGAUCUGUCCUGCACUUCGGGAUAAGAUUGGGAAACUGGGUCUAAUACCGGAUAGGACCAUGGGACGCAUGUUUUGUGGUGGAAAGCUUUUGCGGUGUGGGAUGGGCCCGCGGCAUAUCAGCUUGUUGGUGGGGUGAUGGCCUACCAAGGCGAAGACGGGUAGCCGGCCUGAGAGGGUGUCCGGCCACACUGGGACUGAGAUACGGCCCAGACUCCUAGCGGGAGGCAGCAGUGGGGAAUAUUGCACAAUGGGCGCAAGCCUGAUGCAGCGACACCGCGUGGGGGAUGACGGCCUUCGGGUUGUAAACCUCUUUCACCAUCGACGAAGGCUCAGCUUUUGUUGGGUUGACGGUAGGUGGAGAAGAAGCACCGGCCAACUACGUGCCAGCAGCCGCGGUAAU